GAUGAACGCUGGCGGCGUGCUUAACACAUGCCAGUCGAACGGAAAGGCCUCUGCUUGCAGGGGUACUCGAGUGGCGAACGGGUGAGUAACACGUGGGUGAUCUGCCCUGCACUUCGGGAUAAGCCUGGGAAACUGGGUCUAAUACCGGAUAGGACAAUGGUUUGGAUGCUGUUGUGGAAAGUUUUUCGGUGUGGGAUGAGCUCGCGGCCUAUCAGCUUGUUGGUGGGGUAAUGGCCUACCAAGGCGUCGACGGGUAGCCGGCCUGAGAGGGUGUACGGCCACAUUGGGACUGAGAUACGGCCCAGACUCCUACGGGAGGCAGCAGUGGGGAAUAUUGCACAAUGGGCGCAAGCCUGAUGCAGCGACGCCGCGUGGGGGAUGACGGCCUUCGGGUUGUAAACUCCUUUCGCUAGGGACGAAGCGUUUUUGUGACGGUACCUGGAGAAGAAGCACCGGCUAACUACGUG
rnacentral:rRNA from 1 species